AUGGCGACGGCGGCUGCGAGUCGGCCCAGCGGGCCUGUGCUGUCGACACCCAACUGCCGCUCCUACUCAUCCACCCCCGUCAAGCUCGCCGGCGGCGACGCCACCCACUUGCUGGGCAAGUCCGUCAGCGUCUCGUCCCCGUCCCCCACCAGGAGCCAGCACUACUGCACGUGCUCCGCGACGAACCACCCGGGCUCGUUCCGAUGCAGCGUCCACAAGGAGCGCAAGCAGGUGGCCCCCGCCGGCAGCAGCAAGCCCCCAUCCCCGCCGUCCAUCCGCGGUCUCGGCUCGAAGCGAAUGAGCAGCCGGCAGUGCGCCCGCAGGGCCCUCAAGCCGUCACCCGCGGUGCAGCAGUCGCAGCAACGGAGGCGCGCGGGCGGGUUCCGCCCCAGGCCCAGUAGGCUCUCCGCCGUGUCCACCGCCGGCGAGCGUCCCCGCGACAACUAG
rnacentral:rRNA from 1 species